rnacentral:rRNA from 1 species
UAGGGAAUCUUCGGCAAUGGACGAAAGUCUGACCGAGCAACGCCGCGUGAGUGAAGAAGGUUUUCGGAUCGUAAAACUCUGUUGUUAGAGAAGAACAAGGACGUUAGUAACUGAACGUCCCCUGACGGUAUCUAACCAGAAAGCCACGGCUAACUACGUUCCAGCAGCCGCGGUAAUACGUAGGUGGCAAGCGUUGUCCGGAUUUAUUGGGCGUAAAGCGAGCGCAGGCGGUUUCUUAAGUCUGAUGUGAAAGCCCCCGGCUCAACCGGGGAGGGUCAUUGGAAACUUGGAGACUUGAGUGCAGAAGAGGAGAGUGGAAUUCCAUGUGUAGCGGUGAAAUGCGUAGAUAUAUGGAGGAACACAAGUGGCGAAGGCGGCACUCUGGUCUGUAACUGAAGCUGAGGCUCGAAAGCGUGGGGAGCAAACAGG